rnacentral:rRNA from 1 species
UAUCUACCCUUCGGCCUGCAAUAACACGAGGAAACUUGUGCUAAUACCGGAUAAGUCUUUACGGAGAAAGCUUUAUGCACCAUUGGAUGAGCCUGCACUUGAUUAGUUUGUUGGUGGGGUAAUGGCCUACCAAGACUGUGAUCAAUAGCUGAUUUGAGAGGAUGAUCAGCCACAUUGGGACUGAGACACGGCCCAAACUCCUACGGGAGGCAGCAGUGGGGAAUCUUGCACAAUGGAGGAAACUCUGAUGCAGCGAUGCCGCGUGAGUGAAGAAGGCCUUUGGGUUGUAAAGCUCCUUCGUCGGGGAAGAAAAUGACUGUACCCGAAUAAGAAGGUCCGGCUAACUUCGUGCCAGCAGCCGCGGUAAUACGAAGGGACCUAGCGU